ACCAUUGAAGGCACUGGUUAUUUUACCAAGGCUUUGACUGGAAUGGCAUGGUUUCAGUUAUAAACAGACUGCUUUAAGGAAUCAAAGUUGACUUACAGAGCUGAUAAAAGGCCCCUAAGAAAAACUGGCCUCACCUCUUGUCUAUAUAGUCCCUAUAUAGGUUUCCUGACCUGUGUUUUUUGACUUGGACUCAAUAAAAUUGCUGCUACCUUUUUACUGAGGCCUUACAAGCUAAAGCUUAUUCCUUGAGACACAGAAGUUCCAGGGAUUGAAUCUUGAGACAAUCUGGGUGCCUAUGGAAUUAUCUCCCACCAGAAGAUUACUUCAAGGCAGCAGCUAAUUUACAACCUGGUCAAGCCUGAGAUGGUGUCAACCCAUUCUCAAGAUGGGACAAUAACUCAAGAUAAGUCAUCAAAACAAGCCACGUAGACCAGCACCACCUCUCACGCCCCCACCCACCACCCCCCACCCACCACAUAUCCUCCAUACCAAACUUCCCCUUCUUAAACCCUAGCAUUUUGCCCAAGAAUUUUGAAGCAGUUUCAUUAAGGCAGGAGCCUGAACCACUUCCCCACUGUUAGCUUUGGAAAAUGAAGUCAAUUUCCUUAUACUGAACCUUGUCCUUGUUAUUUAGUUUUGCAAGUGGUGAGCAGCUGAACCUACAUUUGGUUGCAGUCUUAUUUCUCAAUUGGGGCAGUGUCUGUUUCGUCUCUCAACUGGGGCAGCACAGCGUUAAAGCUAGUGAAUUAAUUUCUUUUAUGGAGAAGUUCUUCCCUUACCCUUUAUUUUGUAAGGUAUUAGUAAUAGACCAGUGAUGGUUAUUAUGUUUAGUCAUACUAGUGUUAAGUACCAAUAACUGUGCUGGGGAAACAUGGAUAUAUAAUAUUUCUGAUAUUCUAUCCAAUCUUGCCCUUGAAGAGAUUUCCACCAUGGGAAAUCCAGAACUACUGGAAAGGGACAUGAGACCACAUACCCAAUGAGCAUCCUUUUGUAACCUAUUAGCAUAGUGUUGGGCCCAUUGCAAAAAGAGGUUGCUUUAUGGGCAACAAGUGGUAUAGUAGUACCAAGGCAUGAGAACUAAGGAGAAAAAAAAAAGAAGUUGGGUGGAAGCUUGUAAAAUAAAAUAUUCUCCAUCUAUUAACAAUUGUUAAUAUUAAGCAUUAAUUUAGAUACAGACCUGGUCCAGGUCUUGGGACACCCAACCAUGUCUGCGACCAUCUUCUUCUCAAUUGGCAUCGCCUUAUUUUAAGUAGAAGAUUACUCUCUGGUGAAACAGUCUAUUCAGGAGGCUCAGCUUUCCUUAGAUGUGAGACGUGAAUCCAGGAGUCUAUGCCUUCUAGUUUAGCAGCACAAGAAUUAGUAAGAAGUACCUGGUAAGGUCCGCUGUAUCCUGGUUGGAGACAAUCUUUUAAGAAAUGUUUCCAAUAGACAAAAUCUCCAGGUUCAAGUCUGUGGUUCUUUAGAUUUAUGUUUCCAAGAAGCUUUCUGUGAAAAGAUUAUUUUACUAAGUCACAAGGUGGCACAAUUUCUAGGAGACAUUUUGAUAGGUUUGCCUGUUAUUUUAAAUGGAGAUAACUGUUAUUUUACCAAAAGGAGUAAAUCUUUUGUUUAGCAAAACCAAUGGAAUGGAUUUUGGCCAAGGAAUUUUAAAAGCCUCAGUUAAUUUUGCCAUUUGGGUUUUUAUUAUUCUGUUUGUGCAUUCUACUAACCCAGAUGAUAGGGAGUAAUAAACACAAUGGAAAUGCUGAAAAAUAGGCCAGAUGCUACAUGCUGAUUGAAUUAUCUAUCCAGUGAAUUAUCUAUUCCAAUUAUUCAAUACCUCUGUUGCUAUGAAGUUCCAAUGAAAUGUCUGGGUUGGAAUAAUUUUUUCUACAAUAAUUUUACUUACUGCUAAGGCUAUUGCUCUUCUUCAUGGAAAUGCCUCUACCCAAUAAGAAAACAUGCAAAUAAUUACCAGGACAUAUUUGUAGCCUUAUGAAAGUGGCAAUUAGAAAAAAAUCUAGUUGCUGUAUUUCAAAGGGAGUCUCAGAUAAAGGAAAGUGUCUUUGGGAAGUAAGUAAUGCUUUUCCUGGAUUAUAUUUUGGGCAAAUAUGACUGCUUGUAUACCUUAUGAGCUAUCGUUGGAGAAGGUUUCCAGUAAUACUGUUUUUCCUGGGCAACCAUUUUGGCAGGACUCCAGUAAGUUAGAUCAUGCACAUGUGUUAAAAAUGAUAACUGUAGGCCAGGUGCAGUGGCUCGCACCUGUAAUCCCAACACUUCAGGAGGCUGAGGCAGGAGGAUUGCUUGAGGCCAGGAGUUUGAGACCAGGCUGGGCAACAUGGUGAGACCCCAUAUCUACAAAAAAUUUACAAAUUAGCCAAUCAUGAUGGCGUGUUCCACCUAGUCAGGAGGCUGAGGUGGGAGGAUAGCUCGAGCCCAGGAAGUCAAGGCAACAGUGAGCCAUGUUCAUGCCACUGCAUUCCAGCCUGGGUGACAGACUGAAACCCUGUCUUUAAAAAUAUGAUGGCUGUAAUUCAGCAAGAAGUAUGGGUGAGUUGUUUCACCUGUACCAUUCUUCAUCUUUUGGUGAAUAUUUACGCCCUUUUGUGUCCCAAACUUUUUGUGCUGAUUUUGGGACUCUGGAUUAAUUUUAUAUCAAUUUCAAGUGCUUCCUUAAAAGUUAAUACAGGUAGAUUUUCCUGUUUAGAUGCGUUUUGAGUAGCACUCUUUGUGACCUUAUUAGAUCACUAAUUUCCUCUGCAUUCUGGAGUAUCUUUUUUGGAAUGACCCGGAAUUUUAAUAAUGGCCAAUGAUUUUGGCAAUAAUAUGACUUUUAGUAGUUGUGAAAUAAGAUGUCUUUUUUUUAUGGAUUGACCUGAAGAGAUUGAGAAUCCUCUUUGUUUCCAUAACACUUCAAAAUCAUGGGCUACUCCAAAAACAUAUCUACUGUCUGUAUAAAUACUAGUGAAUAUAUUUUUCUGCCAAUUGACAGGACCUAUUUAAUAUUAUUAAUUCCACUUGUUGAGGUGAAGUGGCUUUUGGAAGAUAGGCACUUCCUGUUUCUUCAGUUAAAGACACUAUAGUGUAUCCAGCCCUAUAGAAUCCAGAUUCAUCCAUUAAGUAAGGUCCAUUUAUAAGCCAAACAACAAUAUUAGUAUUUGCAAGGGGGAUAUCUCAAUAGAUGUGACCUGGGAGAAAGACAUUGAUCAAUUAGGGCUAUGCUGUUGUGCAGCAGCUCAUCUUAAAACAAAGGCAAAAGAGUUGCAGGGUUUACAUUGUUACACCUAGAUAUGGUGAUAUAAGGAGCUAAAAGAAAUAGGACCUCAUGUGAGGCCAGUCUGAGAACUGAGUAAUACUGAAUAUGGUAUGAGUUCAGCAGUGCCUCCAUAGAAUGAGAGAUGAAGAUAGUAAGGGAUGUUCCCAUUGCAAUGUCUUUAGUUGCCUUAACAAAGCAUAAGCUGUUAAUGGUUUGCAUACAAGUUGGCCAUCCUCUUGCUACAGGGUCUUUAUUGGCUAUAAUACCCCCAAGUCUAUUUUGAUCUCCAUGUUUUUGAGUUAGAAUCCCUAAAGCGUUUCCAUCACUUUAGUGUUUAAAUACUGAAAAUGGAAGGUUAUAUAAUAAUUUGGAUGUACUAAAGCUGAGGAUUUAGCAAAGUCAUUUUUGAUCAUUUCUAAUGUUAUUUGAUUUUUUUCUGUCCUGUCUAGAAGGUCUGUAAUGUCCAGUUAUAAGAGAGUAUAUAAGGGCUGGGCCUUUGAAGAGAAGUUGGCUAUCCAAUUUCUACAAUAUCCUGUCAGCCCCCAAAACCCUCUCAAUUGCUUCUUGCUUCUCAGUGGUGGAAAAGCUAGGAUUCCUUUCAACCUAGCUGGAUUAAUAGGAAGUCGUUCCUUGACUGUUACAUGGUAUAUUAGACUGUUCUCACAUUGCUAUAAAGAACUAUCUGAGACUGGGUAAUUUAUGAAGCAAAG
rnacentral:lncRNA from 1 species